AGUGAACGCUGGCGGUAGGCCUAACACAUGCAAGUCGAACGGCAGCACAGUAAGAGCUUGCUCUUACGGGUGGCGAGUGGCGGACGGGUGAGGAAUACAUCGGAAUCUACUUUUUCGUGGGGGAUAACGUAGGGAAACUUACGCUAAUACCGCAUACGACCUACGGGUGAAAGCAGGAGAUCUUCUGACCUUGCGCGAUUGAAUGAGCCGAUGUCGGAUUAGCUAGUUGGCGGGGUAAAGGCCCACCAAGGCGACGUUCCGUAGCUGGUCUGAGAGGAUGAUGAGACCCACUAGAACUGAGACACGGUCCAGACUCCUACGGGAGGCAGCAGUGGGGAAUAUUAGAUAAUGGGAGCAAGCCUGAUCCAGCCAUACCGCGUGGGUGAAGAAGGCCUUCGGGUUGUAAAGCCCAUUUGUUGGGAAAGAAAAGCAGCAGGUUAAUACCCCGCUGUUCUGACGGUACCCAAAGAAUAAGCACCGGCUAACUUCGUG
rnacentral:rRNA from 1 species